rnacentral:ncRNA from 2 species
CUAUAUUUGCCCCACUUUGGUGAUUCGGCAGAUGAGCUUCUGCCGUUUAAUAGGGAAUCCGGUUGGAAUCCGGAACAGUGCCCGCUACUGUGAUGCCCUUUGUGAUGAAAAGUAUCUUACACCACUGUCUGCGCGUAAAGACGGGAAGGUUGCUUUUCAGGGCUUAGUCAGGAGACCUGCCAGAGUACAAUACAGCUA